rnacentral:rRNA from 1 species
UACGGGGGGAGCAAGCGUUGUUCGGAUUUACUGGGCGUAAAGGGCGCGUAGGCGGCCAGCACAAGUCAGUUGUGAAAUCUCCGAGCUUAACUCGGAAAGGUCAACUGAUACUGUGCGGCUAGAGUGCAGAAGGGGCAACUGGAAUUCUUGGUGUAGCGGUGAAAUGCGUAGAUAUCAAGAGGAACACCUGCGGCGAAGGCGGGUUGCGUGGGCUGACACUGACGCUGAGGCGCGAAAGCUAGGGGAGCGAACGGG